rnacentral:rRNA from 1 species
UCUGGCGGCAGUAGCGCGGUGGUCCCACCUGACCCCAUGCCGAACUCAGAAGUGAAACGCCGUAGCGCCGAUGGUAGUGUGGGGUCUCCCCAUGCGAGAGUAGGGAACUGCUCAUU